AUGGAGGGGGCUGGAGAAUAUCUCAGCUGUCGUGGGGGAAGAGGGAGGACACACCCUGGACAAGACGUCAGUCUGUCCCAGGCAGGCAACAGGCAACCAUUCAAUCCCACAACCAAUUUAGAAUCACCAAUUAAACUAACCCAUGCAUGUUUUUGGACUGUGGGAGGAUGCUGGAGUACCCAGAAAGAACCCACACAAGCACAGGCAGAACAUGCAAUCACCAAACAGAAAGGCCAGAGCCACGAAUUGAACCUAGGAUCUUUUUACUGUGAGGCAACAGUGCUAACCACCAUCACCACUGCACCAGCCCAACUAAACUCAUGACAGGAAGUAGCUCCCCCUAAUUUCUACCUAAUGCUUAAUUCAUGGUCACCACAUUGGUUGCUGCAUGUGCCAGCUGUGACAUCAUCACAGAAUCAUCACUAUUCAGUUGAUUCAUACUAAAUUUUUUGCAGUCUUCUGAGCGACAGGUGUCAAAGGAACAAGUGAAGAAACACUUUAUAAUAUGUAUGUGUCUAAGGGUGUACUUCCCCUGUUAUUGAAUGGAAUUUCAAAGUAUUUUAUCUGAAACUAAAAUGUAUAUAUAUUUACCUACAAAUACGUAAAGGUACCCCACAAUAAUAGGGUAAAGUAAAAGUAAAGUAAGACCGUUUAAAUAGUGUGUAAGUAAUUUUAAUUAAUUCAUUAGCAAUUUUACAUAGCUUCAGGUAUUUUACAAGAAAGAAGAAAUAAUUACAUUGAAGGUCAAUUUAGGUAAUGCAUAAAUAAUUAAAUAAGUGAAUAGGAAAGAAGUGCCUAAAUUCUGGCUACUUUACAGGAAAGGAGACACACACAAUACUAUAAGCAAUUUUAAGUAACUUCAUGUAUUUUACAGGAAAGAAAAAAUAAUUAGAUUGUAAGUAAUUUAGGUACUGCAUAAGUAUUUUUAAGUAGUACAUCUAGGUAUGGUGUAUAUUUGUCCAUGAUGGAUGUUAUAUUUUGAGGCCAACCAUCCAUUUAUAUUAAUAAUAUAAAUUUAACAAGGACUGUUCUCCCUUACAAAAAAUAAAUACUGUCAAUAUUUGCUGGCCUAUGUGGUCUUAUAAUAAUGGAGCCAAGCCUAACUGAAUUCUUUUUGCAGUCAUUGUUUAAAAAAUUACUUCUUAAAGAAGUGUUUCGGGAAAGAAGUGUCUGUUUUCCUGUAAAGUUACCUGUAAGGUAGGCUAGGUUAAACCACUCCAUAAUACAGUCUGUGCCCCAGAAACUCUACUGUGUACUUACAAUGUAAGAUGGGAAAUAUUGUUUGUUUUUCCACAAAAUUACCCAAAAAUUAUACAGUUCUUAAAAUUACAUACAGAAUCAUUUGUGUCUCUUUUUCUGAGUCAUACACUACUUAAAAUUACUUAUGCUUUGCUUAAAAUUGCUUACACACAACUUAAAUAUACGUACAGUAGAAUUUUUCUGUUUCCUGUGAAAAGCUGACUUGUUACCCUCUUAUUUUAGUGUACUUACCUUUAAGUAUUUGUAGGUAAAUAUAAUUACAUUGCAAAAUUUUUUUUAAACAAAAAACAUUAAAAUUCCACUUAUUACGGUAAAGUACGUCCUGUAAUUAUAAAGCUGCAUUAUAAACUUUUACCAAAGUGGCAACAAUAAACAAAAUGAUCACACAGGGGUUUUUUUUCUUACAUUUUUCUUCAGAAAGUUUCAUCUUUUCAAGUUGUCUCCUCUGUAAUCUGGAAAUCUCUGAGCUCCUGUACUGAUACAUGAAUAUAAUGGGGGUUAGGGCGACAACAGCGAGAAUAAAUGGGUUUGGAUAGCUAGUCUAAGUCCUGUCCCAGUCGUCAGGGAGUAACAAGUGUUUCAAAGAGCCAAAAAGUAGGUUACAAAACCAAUACACUAAUUAUCACCAAAACUAGUGGCAGGCAUGAAACAAAGCCCAAUGACUGCAAGUCUUGCGCAUAACAACAAGUCACCUCAGGGGCAAAGCAUGCAUAUACAAAUUGAGACGCAGCUGCUUGCUCUGCUGCAAAUCCCGGCCUACACGACUGGAGCUGUGCUUCUACACUUAACAUGGAAAUGUGCUUUUUUACAUAAAGAAUGAUCAUUUUGACGAUGCCUCCUUCAGUUCUGUAAAUGAUGACAGAUGGUGAGCAUUUCUAAAUGUAUGGUGGAGAACACCCUUCAGACAUCAGAACACCCUUCAGAGUCACAGAGAGGCCUCUUAAAGCAGGGGGCAGCUUCCAUAAUGGCUGAGUGGAUGAACGGAUGGCUGGAGUAGAGGAGCUGCAGUGCGUGGAAGUGUUUCAUCUCCAGUCUGUACUCCAGAGGUGUAAGAAGGUCAGAGAGUGAGAUGCAGAGCGGUGCGCUUGCUGCCUCCUUGUGUUGCUCAACGCUCCAACAGAGCUUCCUGUGUGCGCCGUUUUCACAACAACAUUUUCCAAGGAGCUCCCAACAGUAGUUCAACAAAUGCCGACCGCCAUGAUGUGACGCAGUCAUGUGGGAGCGUCUAGCAGACCAAAAAUAAAUGUAUUUGGCAGCGUGACUUCUGUUCUGGGACUGCACGCCCCUCCAAGAUGCAUAGUAGCAACAAGAACCCCAGUGCAGAACAGAGCAGGGAUCAAAUUACAAGAAACCUUGGAACAACUGCUUCUUUGUUUCAUAUAACAGUCUAUACAAACCAUGUGACA